rnacentral:rRNA from 1 species
CGGCGGACGGGUGAGUAACGCGUGGGUAACCUGCCUCAUACAGGGGGAUAACAGUUGGAAACGGCUGCUAAUACCGCAUAAGCGCACAGUACUGCAUGGUACCGUGUGAAAAACUCCGGUGGUAUGAGAUGGACCCGCGUCUGAUUAGCUAGUUGGUGGGGUAACGGCCUACCAAGGCGACGAUCAGUAGCCGACCUGAGAGGGUGACCGGCCACAUUGGGACUGAGACACGGCCCAA